rnacentral:misc_RNA from 1 species
UGACCGUGUCGGCAUGUGAGUGGUGAUGGAUUUGUAUGCCAUGGUGGGCUCCCUGCUAUCGUGCAGCUGACCAUCGAUGCUGCAAGGGCGUCAUGGAGGACGUGCU